UGCGUAGGCGGAAUAUUAAGUCAGUGGUGAAAUCCUGCGGCUCAACCGUAGAACUGCCAUUGAUACUGAUAUUCUUGAAUGUAGUUGAGGUAGGCGGAAUGUGUAAUGUAGCGGUGAAAUGCUUAGAUAUUACACAGAACACCGAUUGCGAAGGCAGCUUACUAAACUAUGAUUGACGCUGAGGCACGAAAGCAUGGGGAGCGAACAGGAUUAGAUACCCUGGUAGUCC
rnacentral:rRNA from 1 species